rnacentral:rRNA from 1 species
UGGACCCUACGGGACGCAGCAGUAGGGAAUCUUCCGCAAUGGGCGAAAGCCUGAUGGAGCAACGCCGCGUGGGUGAAGAAGGUUUUCGGAUCGUAAAACCCUGUUGUUAGAGAAGAAAGUGCGUGAGAGUAACUGUUCACGUUUCGACGGUAUCUAACCAGAAAGCCACGGCUAACUACGUGCCAGCAGCCGCGGUAAUACGUAGCUGGCAAGCGUUAUCCGGAUUUAUUGGGCGUAAAGGGUGCGUAGGCGGCCUGCUAAGUCUGGAGUGAAAGGUACCGGCUCAACCGGUACAGGCUCUGGAA